rnacentral:rRNA from 1 species
GGGGGGUGCAAGCGUUGUUCGGAUUUAUUGGGCGUAAAGCGCGUGUAGGCGGUUUGGUAAGUCUGAUGUGAAAGCCCUGGGCUCAACCCGGGAAGUGCAUUGGAUACUGUCAGACUUGAAUACGGGAGAGGGCAGUGGAAUUCCUAGUGUAGGAGUGAAAUCCGUAGAUAUUAGGAGGAACACCGGUGGCGAAGGCGGCUGCCUGGACCGAUAUUGACGCUGAGACGCGAAAGCGUGGGUAGCAAACAGGAUUAGAUACCCUGGUAGUCCACGCCGUAAACGAUGAGAACUAGGUGUUGCGGGUAUUGACCCCUGCAGUGCCGUAGCUAACGCAUUAAGUUCUCCGCCUGGGAAGUACGGUCGCAAGACUA